AUUAAAUUAAUCGGGAAUGCUCAACAUAAGAAAUUAAGGAGCCAUACAGUACUCUAACAUAAAAGUGGAUCAGGGAAAGAUCAAUAUUGCGAAAUUUUGAAAAGUUCAUUCUACCUUUUAUCAAUAUUUGCAUAAAUACACAAUAGACUUAACUUUUGAGCAUAUGAGAUAAUCAUAGUUCACAGACGUAAACACAACAUAUUCCAUAAAAUAUUUUUACAAUAUAUAAAACCAAUAAAGAUUAAUACUGAAAAAUCAUCUUACAAAUAACUUAGAAUUUAAUUAAAUGAAUCUAAAAACGUUGCAAGAUGAAAAUCGUUGAAAUAGCUAUGUGUAAUCACAAUAUUUGGUAUUCCAAACCCCAGCUAUCCUUCUUAAAAAUAAGAAUAAAUUCUCAUAAGAAGUUUCCUAGACAAAAUAAAAUCAACUCCUAAGAACCAAAAAACACACUCGAACUAAAAUCAAAGUACAUUUUCGGAACCUUCACGAGUCUUAAGGCCUUUGAGCUUGUGAUUGACAGCAUCUACUGCUUCUUCGGAGAAUAUAUCCUCAUUGAGAAGAUCUUUAACAUGUGUCUUCAUGAGAUUAAGUUCAGAAUUAACCCUUUUCAACUCACUUCGUAACACAUCGAGACCUUUCAUAAUAUCAACGAGCUGCAAUUUUGCUUCCUCAAAGUAUUUAAGAAAAUCAUGAACCACUUCAGCAGAAACCAUAUCAUCAUGCUCUACAUCUUGAUGAGUACAUGCAUAAUAGCAUGAGACAUCAGAAUAAUCAUCAGGAUUUUGAUCUUUGACAUCGUCAACUUCUACUAGGGUUCUUUUCUUCUUCCCUUUGGAACUGUAACCCAUACCUUUAUCAAGAAACCCAUUCGUAAAAUCAUAAGUGUGAGAAGGAGACGACAUUCUUGAUAUGAUAAAAAUAACCUAGAGUGAGAUAACUCAACUGAAUAGGAUAAGGGUAUAAACGGUUCCUCAUAAAAUAUAUUUUUAGGGUUUUUCAGAGUUGGUUCAUGACUUGUAACAACGGGUACCCAUACGAACACAGACUUACCCAUAAUAUGAAACUGUAAAGUUCCUUUUACAAAAGAAACACAACAAAAUUCUUUCUAUGUGAAAAUUUUCUUUCACAAAUCUUAGCUCAAUAAAUUUUAUAUACUCACAAGAGGAAAAUGUAGAGCACAAGAGUAGCACAAACAACCAAAAAUUGGAUCAACUAAAAUUUUCAAAACAAAAAUUAUUUUGAAGAAAAUGAAAAUACUUAUGCAGUGUUGUCUGUGCCAAAGUCUAGAUAACAAUCAAUAAGAGAGUAGCUCAGAGAACAUUUUUCAUCAAGUAUACCUGAUCAUUAGCACAUCUUACUCAGCAGGAUUUUUCGCGAGUAAGGUUUCAAUCUUUGUGAUUAACUAACACAAGUAUGAGCAUUAUGCUCAUCAAUUGAAUGACGUUCUUGGUUAAACCUCUUUUUCCUUCUAAUUUUCUUAGGAAACCAUUUUUGAUGUGAAAAAGUAUCAUAAAACUUACUAAAGUAAGGUAUACUACGGCGUUUGAGAGAACCAUGUCGAAGGAACUCGAUAAAAUGACCUCGUAAUUUUGGGAGAAGGGGAGUUGUUAUAUGAAUUAGGAAUAUGGCAUAUAUCAGGGGUUAGUGACAGUUUAUUAAAAACACCAGAUUCUACUAUGUGGUAAUACAAAAGUAUAAAGUUUGACACCUGCUCGGUGAUGGUAGGCUGGAUGGAAGUGUGAUUAUAUUUGAAUAGAAGUUCCAAUAAAUGAUGGUAUUAACUCAACCUGUCCUAAGGUCGCAAAAUUCCUUGUCACAUAAAUAAUGACCUACUCGAAUGAUGUAACGACUGCCCUACUGUCUCCAACAUAUACUCGAUGAAAUUAAAUUAUCCGUGAAGAUGCGGAGUACCAAAGGUUAGACGGUAAGACCAUGUGCACCUUGACUAUAGAUCUUGAAUGAAAAUAUGAAAGACAUUUCGUCUAAGGGUGUCUAACCGCCGCGCUAGGUAUUCGGAUAUCGGAAAAACACUGUGAGGUAGGUAGUUUAUCUGGGGCGGAUACCUCCUAAAGAGUAAUGGAGGCAUGCGAAGGUUGGCUCAAAUUUUAAUUCUGCUUGUGAAUGUAAUGGUAUAAGCAUGUAUGACUAUGAGACCUACUAGACAAACAGAGACGAAAUUCGUCCAUAGUGAUUCUGGAAUCCUAUGUGAAAGGGCUUUUGCCCAACGGAUCAAAGGUACGUCGGGGAUAACAUGAUGAUGACUCCAAAGAUUUCUUAUUAACGGGGAAGUUUGGCACCUAGAUGUCGAAUCAUCACAUCCAGGGGGUUGAAUAAUGUCCCAAGGGUUCGGUUGUUUGUCGAUUCAAGUGGUACGUGAGUUGGGCUUAUAACAUCAUGAGAGGGUCGAUUGCUACCUAAUGUUAGUGUUAAAGGCAGAACUGCGAGGAGCCAACCCUAUUAUGAGAGGACUGGGUUGAGCCAACCUAUGGUUUUUAUGUCUAUAUCAUCUCCAAGAAGCUAAGUUUCGUAUGGAAUAACUACAACUUGAGAGAAAUCCUUCUCAAUACAAGUUCUCGUACAAGGUUUUAGAAUGUAACUUUGAUAUGCGAGAUUUGUAAGCAUCGUGAUUUGUUCAGCCAUAUCGCAGUAAACGAAAGAAAAAUAAAAGAA
rnacentral:rRNA from 1 species